rnacentral:sRNA from 1 species
GCCUCCUUGCAGUGUUGCUGGGCCACGUCAGGAAGUGCUGGAGGACAUGGCAUUGCACCAACACCAGGCAGCCGGCCGUGUGGCUCAUCCCGCAGAUCAGGCUCUUCCUGUGCAUGGAGAUGGAGACCCCCGGAGGCAGCCCGUGGCCCAGUUCUCGGGCAGGUGGAGCAUGGAGACGACUGGGAACUUCACUAGACACACAUCCAACCAGUCCAAGGGCUUGUCGCACCGUGUACCAGCUUGCAGAAGAGAGCCCAACACCUCGCCAAGCACGAAGGCCUCCCUUCCCGACUUGAUGAAGGCAGAGUAGCGAUUGAGGUUGCGGCUCACAGUGAGCGAGCUCCUGCCCACGUGGGGACCCAGGGAGCCGUCGAGCUCCAGGUAUGCACCUCUGCCCAGUGCACCUGGCUCGGUCACCAUCAUGGAGCUGCCAUCCCACUUGUCGUCCCAGUCAUCAUCACUGCCCUAGCUGGCCUAGUUGCCACCAAGGAGCUGCUGAGGCCACGGCUUCAGGGCAUCCCUACCGCCUGGAAAUCCUGUGCCGGCUGCUGGAAGGCACUCUGUGGUGGCACCAGCUGCGGCUGCAGUAGCAGCUGGAAAGCACUGAGAGACGGCUUCAAGGAGGCGGGCAGUGCACCAGGCAGGGCCUUGAAGCCUCUGGGUGGUACAAUGGCCAUGGCACAGUGGGUCAAGGCACAGGGGCAGCCAUGGCACACUGGGCCAGUCCACGGUUGCAGACCACUUGCACUGCACAUAUAAGGCCAGGGUUGCUGAGGCCAUGAGCCCUUGCGAGUCAGCCCUUGAUGUCCUGCUCACUACACAGGCUCAGCACUUCAUGUUCU